rnacentral:lncRNA from 1 species
GAUUCAUUCGGCACCACAUGCAGAUGCAUCAUGAACAAAGGUUCAUUUAUGGAUUUCUAGAAGAUAAAAAAGGAAUAUUUGUGUCUACUGGCCUGCAUUUUGCUUUAAAAUGUGUUUGCUUAUAUCAAAAAUAUUUUGGUCAAGAGAAAAGGUAGAGUUUAUCUCCUCCGUUACGUUGAAUCAAAUUUUAGUACAAAAUCAAUUGAUAUUUAGUUUGCAUCCAAAAUUUUCCUUUAGAUUGACAUAGGGUUGUUGUAAUGCAUGUAACUGGACAUGCGAAGAAACUCUUGUUCAUAUAAUUCCUUGCUUACAUUUUUCUGUCAAUUUUCCAUAUUGAUAGCUCUUGCUUGUUAAUAGAUCAUCGAGUUUCUUUGUGACAAUUGCAGUUUUGCACAUUUCUAAAUGUAUUCUCUUGAUAUGGAAGGCAUGGAGAGAAGAGAUCAAAUUUGCCUUCUCAUUCUCAUGCAACUCCUGAUAUUUGACCUAUCAGCUAUGUGCAUCUGGGCUUUCAUACAUGUUAUUUAGCUUACAGUGAGAUCUGCAUCUUUGUAUUGCAGGUGGUUGUCAAUCUGUAUUUUCUAACAACUUUGGGAAGGGUGCUCUCAGGCAAUGUUGUUCCUUAUGCUGAUAGUUCCAGUAUUCCACCACACUUGUUGAUACUACUUGUGUAGCUAGGCUUACUUCAAAAGUUCAGGUUUGUUGGCGUGUAACACCUUCUGCAUUCUCAUUUUGUUGUCAUUACUGGUUUUAAUUGUUCAUCUUCUGCCUCUACAUAUUUGCACAAAUCCCCAACUUGGUCGAUCAGCUCCCUUCUUGGGUUCCUGUAGAGGAAGAGACUCUCAUCUCCUCUUUAGCUGCAAUGGAAGGGUCAAUCUGGCCUAGGAAGUUGUGGACAUCGUAGGUGUGUCUACCUUAUCAUGGUGCGUGCAUCCAUGAUAGAGACAAGUGAAUCAAGUAAUUAAGUUUGAACUUCUUGAGUGCAUGCAGGUGCAGCAACAUCAAGGACUAUGCCACGAGGAACAGUUGAGCGGUCAUGGAAACACCGGGAUGCUUAUCAUCACCCACGAGGAUGGACACAACCACGUGCAGCUGCUCUACUUGUCGGUCCUCGCCGCAAAUUCUGAAGCCCGACCGAAGCUACGAAUGGCAGAAGACGGUAGAAGAACUCUGAUUUUUUUUGCGGGGGAACUCUGCAUUUUUAUGCCAUGAAGGAACAAGUCAUUUAGCCGCUCCUUGGUUAUUUAGUCUGACAAAAGAUCAGAAUGCAAGUGAAAAUUGUAACACCAAGGCAAAUAUUUUCCCGUUAUAUUUUUCAUGAUGUCUAAUAGAUAGUACAUGAUUGGGGUGCAAUACAUUUACCUUUUGAAAUAUUCUGUGAAUAAAAUUGCUCCAUGCGAUUGUCAAAUUGCCUCGUGUGUCUGUGUGUGUGUGUGUGUGUUUAGCAAAUUGUGAUAGCCUUGUCAAUAGGUGUCUUUGUUGCGUGUAUCUGAGAAUAAUCAUGUUAAUUUCUUGGUCCCUUCUUCCUGUUUGCAUCUUCCUGCAAUAUUUUGACUAACUACCCUAUCACACACAAAAAUAUUGCUGAGCGUGAUGGGCAUAUUAAAUAAGAU